rnacentral:lncRNA from 1 species
UGAAGCCCUCUUCUCUGAAGCAGUCCACUGAUCUCUUGGCUUAAGAACUUCAACCUUCUCACCAUUAAGCAUCACCGGAUGACUCCAACCAGCUUCAAUAGAGCUCCAACAAUCCUCAUCAAGACCACUGAUGAAAGCUUGCAUACGUACCUUCCAAUUCCUAAAAUUGGAUGAAUCAAGACAUGGGUUUUUUUUGUCAUAGACGUUCCCUCUUGAUAAGCCGCCAUCAAAAAAUUUGUCCUUCCUCCUGAACUAGUUUAUGUCCUCACCCUUCAAGAUCACACCAAUAACUUAGGUGACCCGCUCUGAUACCAAUUGUAAGUGCAGUGAGGUCAGAGUGAAUAAAGUGCAGAAAGUAAAAGACACAAAUUUCUCUUUUUGAAUUCACU